rnacentral:rRNA from 1 species
CGCGUAGGCGGCUCGGUAAGUCUGGAGUGAAAGUCCUGCUUUUAAGGUGGGAAUUGCUUUGGAUACUGUUGGGCUUGAGUGCAGGAGAGGUUAGUGGAAUUCCCAGUGUAGCGGUGAAAUGCGUAGAGAUUGGGAGGAACACCAGUGGCGAAGGCGACUAACUGGACUGUAACUGACGCUGAGGCGCGAAAGUGUGGGGAGCAAACA